GAUGGAGAACGUAGUGAAAUGCGAUAAGUAAUGUGAAUUGCAGAAUUCAGUGAAUCAUCGAAUCUUUGAACGCACCUUGCACCCUUUGGACUGCUCCAAAGGGUAUGCUCGUUUGAGUGUCAUUGUACUCUCACACUCUCUGAUCCUUUGGAUUUGGGGAGCAGUGGACUUGGGUGCUUGCUGCUUCCUUGUGGCUCACCUGAAAUGCAUCAGUGCAUCUCUCGAUUGGACAUAGUACGGCGUGAUAAGUGUCUUCGCCGGCACCUCAUAUGAGGGUGGCCGAUCGGGAGCUCUGUGCUUUCAAACCGUCUUCGGACAACGCUGACAACUUGACCUCAAAUCGAGUAGGACUACCCGCUGAACUUAAGCAUAUCAAUAAGCGGAGGA
rnacentral:misc_RNA from 1 species